GCCCGGCUGGCUCGGUCGGCGGAGCGAGUGACUCUGGACCUGCAGGGCGUGGGUUCAAGCCCCACGCCGGGCG
rnacentral:tRNA from 1 species